GAUGAACGCUGGCGGCGUGCCUAAUACAUGCAAGUCGAGCGACUGGAUUAAGAGCUUGCUCUUAUGAAGUUAGCGGCGGACGGGUGAGUAACACGUGGGUAACCUGCCCAUAAGACUGGGAUAACUCCGGGAAACCGGGGCUAAUACCGGAUAACAUUUUGAACCGCAUGGUUCGAAAUUGAAAGGCGGCUUCGGCUGUCACUUAUGGAUGGACACGCGUCGCAUUAGCUGGUUGGUGAGGUAACGGCUCACCAAGGCAACGAUGCGUAGCCGACCUGAGAGGGUGAUCGGCCACACUGGGACUGAGACACGGCCCAGACUCCUACGGGAGGCAGCAGUAGGGAAUCUUCCGCAACGGACGAAAGUCUGACGGAGCAACGCCGCGUGAGUGAUGAAGGCUUUCGGGUCGUAAAACUCUGUUGUUAGGGAGGAACAAGUGCUAGUUGAAUAAGCUGGCACCUUGACGGUACCUAACCAGAAAGCCACGGCUAACUACGUGCCAGCCGCCGCCGUAA
rnacentral:rRNA from 1 species